rnacentral:rRNA from 1 species
UACGUAGGGUGCAAGCGUUAUUCGGAAUUACUGGGCGUAAAGCGUGCGCAGGCGGUUCUGUAAGUCCGGUGUGAAAUCCCCGGGCUUAACCUGGGAACUGCAUUUGUGACUGGCGGGCUAGAGUAUGGGAGAGGGGGGUAGAAUUCCACGUGUAGCAGUGAAAUGCGUAGAGAUGUGGAGGAAUACCGAUGGCGAAGGCAGCCCCCUGGGCCAAUACUGACGCUCAUGCACGAAAGCGUGGGGAGCAAACAGG